UACGUAUGGUGCGAACGUUGUUCGGAAUCACUGGGCAUAAAGAGCACGUAGGCGGUUGAGCAAGUCCAUUGUGAAAUCCCUCGGCUUAACCGGGGAACUGCGUCUGAUACUGGAUGGCUAGAGGUUGGGAGAGGGAUGCGGAAUUCCAGGUGUAGCGGUGAAAUGCGUAGAUAUCUGGAGGAACACCGGUGGCGAAGGCGGCAUCCUGGACCAAUUCUGACGCUGAGGAGCGAAAGCCAGGGGAGCAAACGGG
rnacentral:rRNA from 1 species